ACUGGGGACUCAGUUUUGGACGUGGACGUGGCCAUUGGAUGGGUCCAACGGGCUAUAUGCCUGCUGGGAAAUGCUAAUACAGCCAUGUCCGCUGAGAGGCGUAAGGCGAUCCUCUUAAAGAUCGACCCUAAAUUGGCCACUAUGACUGUGGCGGAACCUGACCCAACUGAGGAGGGCUUGCUGUUCGGCUCCUCUUUCGUAAAGGACAUGGGCUCCUAUGUGAAGACCUUUACGGCAAUUGAUAAGGCGCAAGCGAACAUGAAACGCGUGUUCGCGCCCAAGGUUUUUGGAGGGGCCGGGCGUAGCAGGAACCGUCCACCCGGCCGCGGCUUCCGUGGCACGUUCCGUGCGGCCAGAGGUUCCUUUUUUCCCUCACGAGGAUUUCAAGACCCGAGAGCACCCACCUUCUUUCCAGCCAGGGGCAGAGCUUGGGGGUCCAGAUACCCCCGCGGUGGCGCUCCCAACAGACGUCCUUACGGUGAGUACCCUUUCUUCCCCUCUCGCUCAGGUUCGGGUUGCGGGGAGGCUGGCCUUGUUUUACCAAGGGUGGGCAGAUAUAUCCACAGAUGCUUGGGUACUGCAAUGCGUAAGGGGAUAGCAUCUGGAGUUUGUUUCCAUGCCUGUCCAGUUUUAUCCCCCCAGGGAGCUGUUUCUUCCGCCGGAUCAGGACGAGAUGAUUUCCGCGGAAGUCGUGGAAAUGUUGUCCAAGGGCGCAAUAGAGGAAUUGCCGUUCGCCGC